UGCCUAAUACAUGCAAGUCGAGCGGAAUGAAGAAGAAGCUUGCUUCUUCUGAUUUUAGCGGCGGACGGGUGAGUAACACGUGGGCAACCUACCUUGUAGAUUGGGAUAACUCCGGGAAACCGGGGCUAAUACCGAAUAAUCCAUUUUGCUUCAUGGCGAAAUGUUAAAAGGCGGCUUCGGCUGUCACUGCAAGAUGGGCCCGCGGCGUAUUAGCUAGUUGGUAGGGUAACGGCCUACCAAGGCGACGAUACGUAGCCGACCUGAGAGGGUGAUCGGCCACACUGGGACUGAGACACGGCCCAGACUCCUACGGGAGGCAGCAGUAGGGAAUCUUCCACAAUGGACGAAAGUCUGAUGGAGCAACGCCGCGUGAGUGAAGAAGGUUUUCGGAUCGUAAAACUCUGUUGUAAGGGAAGAACACGUACGAGAGUAACUGCUCGUACCUUGACGGUACCUUAUUAGAAAGCCACGGCUAACUACGUGCCAGCAGCCGCGGUAAUACGUAGGUGGCAAGCGUUGUCCGGAAUUAUUGGGCGUAAAGCGCGCGCAGGCGGUCCUUUAAGUCUGAUGUGAAAGCCCACGGCUCAACCGUGGAGGGUCAUUGGAAACUGGAGGACUUGAGUACAGAAGAGGAAAGCGGAAUUCCACGUGUAGCGGUGAAAUGCGUAGAGAUGUGGAGGAACACCAGUGGCGAAGGCGGC
rnacentral:rRNA from 1 species